CCCUUCAGAGGGGGACAACAGUUGGAAACGACUGCUAAUACCGCAUACGAUCCAAUCUCGGCAUCGAGGAUGGAUGAAAGGUGGCCUCUAUUUAUAAGCUAUCACUGAAGGAGGGGAUUGCGUCUGAUUAGCUAGUUGGAGGGGUAACGGCCCACCAAGGCGAUGAUCAGUAGCCGGUCUGAGAGGAUGAACGGCCACAUUGGGACUGAGACACGGCCCAG
rnacentral:rRNA from 1 species